AAAUAGAUACCCCGGUAGUCCACGCCGUAAACGAUGAGUGCUAAGUGUUACGGGGGGUUUCCCGCCCCUUAGUGCUGCAGCUAACGCGAUUAAAGCACUCCGCCUGGGGGAGUACGGUCGCAAGACUGAAACUCAAAGGAAUUGACGGGGGGCCCGCACAAGCGGUGGAGCAUGUGGUUUAAUUCGAAGCAACGCGAAGAACCUUACCAGGUCUUGACAUCCCGUUGACCACUGUAGAGAUAUAGUUUCCCCUUCGGGGGCAACGGUGACAGGUGGUGCAUGGUUGUCGUCAGCUCGUGUCGUGAGAUGUUGGGUUAAGUCCCGCAACGAGCGCAACCCUUGAUCUUAGUUGCCAUCAUUUAGUUGGGCACUCUAAGGUGACUGCCGGUGACAAACCGGAGGAAGGUGGGGAUGACGUCAAAUCAUCAUGCCCCUUAUGACCUGGGCUACACACGUGCUACAAUGGACGAUACAAACGGUUGCCAACUCGCGAGAGGGAGCUAAUCCGAUAAAACGUCGUUCUCAGUUCGGAUUGUAGGCUGCAACUCGCCUA
rnacentral:rRNA from 1 species